AAACGGCCGCGGUACCCUAACCGUGCAAAGGUAGCAUAAUCAUUUGUCUAUUAAUUGUAGACUCGCAUGAAAGGCAAAAUGAGAGCCCGACUGUCUCUUAUAACAAAUCAAUUAACCUGAUCUCCCAGUACAAAAGCUGGUAUACCCCCAUAAGACCAGAAGACCCUGUGAAGCUUUAACUAACCUAUUAAACCCGAUAAUAGCUAGUUUCGGUUGGGGCGACCAAGGAACAAAAAAGAACUUCCAUAUAUAUGACUAACCAGUAAAUAAAGGCAAACAAGCCAAAUAUUUGACCCAGUAUACCUGACUAAUGGACCAAGUUACUCCAGGGAUAACAGCGCCAUCUUCUUCAAGAGCCCAUAUCAAAAAGAAGGUUUACGACCUCGAUGUUGGAUCAGGACAUCCUAGCAAUGCAACCGUUACUAAGGGUUCGUUUGUUCAACGAUUAACAGUCCCACGUGA
rnacentral:rRNA from 1 species